GCCUUUUUUGAUUAUAGAGUCAAUAAUCGGAGCCGUUAAAAUUGAUCUAGAAUAUUUAAAAUGUCUUUAAGCUAAAUUUCAUAAUUUUUAGAAAUUAUUUACAGAGUGAUCAAAGGAUCACAAAUUCAACAGUUUUUGACCGCCUACAUGAGCCGUUUGCUUGUUUAACAAUAUAGGGUAAUUCAAACAGCUUGAUUUUUUGAUAGAAAAUUGUUUAUACUAUUUAGAAAAUGUUUGAUAACUCGAUCAUGAAUUGAGAAAGUCUAAUCUCUAUUUUCAAAAGCUUAUUCAUUUUUGACUGUCUAUUUUUU
rnacentral:lncRNA from 1 species